rnacentral:rRNA from 1 species
AGAGUUUGAUCCUGGCUCAGGAUGAACGCUGGCGGCGUGCCUAACACAUGCAAGUCGAGCGAUCUUCUUCGGAAGAGAGCGGCGGACGGGUGAGUAACGCGUGGGUAACCUGCCUCAUACACAUGGAUAACAUACCGAAAGGUAUGCUAAUACAAGAUGAUAUAAGAGAUUCGCAUGGAUUUCUUAUCAAAGCUCCGGCGGUAUGAGAUGGACCCGCGUCUGAUUAGCUAGUUGGUAAGGUAACGGCUUACCAAGGCGACGAUCAGUAGCCGACCUGAGAGGGUGAUCGGCCACAUUGGAACUGAGACACGGUCCAAACUCCUACGGGAGGCAGCAGUGGGGAAUAUUGCACAAUGGGCGAAAGCCUGAUGCAGCAACGCCGCGUGAGCGAUGAAGGCCUUCGGGUCGUAAAGCUCUGUCCUCAAGGAAGAUAAUGACGGUACUUGAGGAGGAAGCCCCGGCUAACUACGUGCCAGCAGCCGCGGUAAUACGUAGGGGGCUAGCGUUAUCCGGAUUUACUGGGCGUAAAGGGUGCGUAGGUGGUUUCUUAAGUCAGGAGUGAAAGGCUACGGCUCAACCGUAGUAAGCUCUUGAAACUGGGAAACUUGAGUGCAGGAGAGGAAAGUGGAAUUCCUAGUGUAGCGGUGAAAUGCGUAGAUAUUAGGAGGAACACCAGUAGCGAAGGCGGCUUUCUGGGCUGUAACUGACACUGAGGCACGAAAGCGUGGGGAGCAAACAGGAUUAGAUACCCUGGUCGUCCAUGCCGUAAACGAUGAGUAUUAGGUGUCGGGGGUUACCCCCCUCGGUGCCGCAGCU